AGUGGCGGACGGGUGAGUAAUGCGCAGGAAUCUGCCCUAAAGUGGGGGACAACUCGGGGAAACUCGAGCUAAUACCGCAUAACCUCUUUGGAGCAAAGCUGGGGACCUUCGGGCCUGGCGCUUUAGGAUGAGCCUGCGUCGGAUUAGCUUGUUGGUGGGGUAACGGCCUACCAAGGCGACGAUCUGUAGCUGGUCUGAGAGGAUGACCAGCCACACUGGGACUGAGACACGGCCCAGACUCCUACGGGAGGCAGCAGUGGGGAAUCUUGGACAAUGGGGGAAACCCUGAUCCAGCGAUGCCGCGUGUGUGAAGAAGGCCUGCGGGUUGUAAAGCACUUUCAGUAGGGAAGAAAUGGCUAAUGUGAUAAGCAUUAGCAGCUGACAUUACCUACAGAAGAAGCACCGGCUAACUCUGUGCCAGCAGCCGCGGUAAUACAGAGGGUGCAAGCGUUAAUCGGAAUUACUGGGCGUAAAGGGUGCGUAGGCGGCCAAGUAAGUUGGAUGUGAAAUCCCUAAGCUUAACUUAGGAAUUGCAUUCAAAGCUGCAUGGCUAGAGUAUGGUAGAGGGAAGUGGAAUUUCCGGUGUAGCGGUGAAAUGCGUAGAUAUCGGAAGGAACACCAGUGGCGAAGGCGACUUCCUGGACCAAUACUGACGCUGAGGCACGAAAACAUGGGGAGCAAACAGGAUUAGAUACCCUGG
rnacentral:rRNA from 1 species